rnacentral:rRNA from 1 species
GGUUAAGCGACUAAGCGUACACGGUGGAUGCCCUGGCAGUCAGAGGCGAUGAAGGACGUGCUAAUCUGCGAUAAGCGUCGGUGAGGUGAUAUGAACCGUUAUAACCGGCGAUUUCCGAAUGGGGAAACCCAGUGUGUUUCGACACACUAUCAUUAACUGAAUCCAUAGGUUAAUGAGGCGAACCGGGGGAACUGAAACAUCUAAGUACCCCGAGGAAAAGAAAUCAACCGAGAUUCCCCCAGUAGCGGCGAGCGAACGGGGAGGAGCCCAGAGCCUGAAUCAGUGUGUGUGUUAGUGGAAGCGUCUGGAAAGGCGUGCGAUACAGGGUGACAGCCCCGUACACAAAAAUGCACAUAUUGUGAGCUCGAUGAGUAGGGCGGGACACGUGGUAUCCUGUCUGAAUAUGGGGGGACCAUCCUCCAAGGCUAAAUACUCCUGACUGACCGAUAGUGAACCAGUACCGUGAGGGAAAGGCGAAAAGAACCCCGGCGAGGGGAGUGAAAAAGAACCUGAAACCGUGUACGUACAAGCAGUGGGAGCCUCUUAAUGGGGUGACUGCGUACCUUUUGUAUAAUGGGUCAGCGACUUAUAUUCUGUAGCAAGGUUAACCGAAUAGGGGAGCCGAAGGGAAACCGAGUCUUAACUGGGCGUUAAGUUGCAGGGUAUAGACCCGAAACCCGGUGAUCUAGCCAUGGGCAGGUUGAAGGUUGGGUAACACUAACUGGAGGACCGAACCGACUAAUGUUGAAAAAUUAGCGGAUGACUUGUGGCUGGGGGUGAAAGGCCAAUCAAACCGGGAGAUAGCUGGUUCUCCCCGAAAGCUAUUUAGGUAGCGCCUCGUGAAUUCAUCUCCGGGGGUAGAGCACUGUUUCGGCAAGGGGGUCAUCCCGACUUACCAACCCGAUGCAAACUGCGAAUACCGGAGAAUGUUAUCACGGGAGACACACGGCGGGUGCUAACGUCCGUCGUGAAGAGGGAAACAACCCAGACCGCCAGCUAAGGUCCCAAAGUCAUGGUUAAGUGGGAAACGAUGUGGGAAGGCCCAGACAGCCAGGAUGUUGGCUUAGAAGCAGCCAUCAUUUAAAGAAAGCGUAAUAGCUCACUGGUCGAGUCGGCCUGCGCGGAAGAUGUAACGGGGCUAAACCAUGCACCGAAGCUGCGGCAGCGACACUAUGUGUUGUUGGGUAGGGGAGCGUUCUGUAAGCCUGUGAAGGUGGCCUGUGAGGGUUGCUGGAGGUAUCAGAAGUGCGAAUGCUGACAUAAGUAACGAUAAAGCGGGUGAAAAGCCCGCUCGCCGGAAGACCAAGGGUUCCUGUCCAACGUUAAUCGGGGCAGGGUGAGUCGACCCCUAAGGCGAGGCCGAAAGGCGUAGUCGAUGGGAAACAGGUUAAUAUUCCUGUACUUGGUGUUACUGCGAAGGGGGACGGAGAAGGCUAUGUUGGCCGGGCGACGGUUGUCCCGGUUUAAGCGUGUAGGCUGGUUUUCCAGGCAAAUCCGGAAAACCAAGGCUGAGGCGUGAUGACGAGGCACUACGGUGCUGAAGCGACAAAUGCCCUGCUUCCAGGAAAAGCCUCUAAGCAUCAGGUAACAUCAAAUCGUACCCCAAACCGACACAGGUGGUCAGGUAGAGAAUACCAAGGCGCUUGAGAGAACUCGGGUGAAGGAACUAGGCAAAAUGGUGCCGUAACUUCGGGAGAAGGCACGCUGAUAUGUAGGUGAAGCGACUUGCUCGUGGAGCUGAAAUCAGUCGAAGAUACCAGCUGGCUGCAACUGUUUAUUAAAAACACAGCACUGUGCAAACACGAAAGUGGACGUAUACGGUGUGACGCCUGCCCGGUGCCGGAAGGUUAAUUGAUGGGGUUAGCGGCAACGCGAAGCUCUUGAUCGAAGCCCCGGUAAACGGCGGCCGUAACUAUAACGGUCCUAAGGUAGCGAAAUUCCUUGUCGGGUAAGUUCCGACCUGCACGAAUGGCGUAAUGAUGGCCAGGCUGUCUCCACCCGAGACUCAGUGAAAUUGAACUCGCUGUGAAGAUGCAGUGUACCCGCGGCAAGACGGAAAGACCCCGUGAACCUUUACUAUAGCUUGACACUGAACAUUGAGCCUUGAUGUGUAGGAUAGGUGGGAGGCUUUGAAGUGUGGACGCCAGUCUGCAUGGAGCCGACCUUGAAAUACCACCCUUUAAUGUUUGAUGUUCUAACGUUGGCCCGUAAUCCGGGUUGCGGACAGUGUCUGGUGGGUAGUUUGACUGGGGCGGUCUCCUCCUAAAGAGUAACGGAGGAGCACGAAGGUUGGCUAAUCCUGGUCGGACAUCAGGAGGUUAGUGCAAUGGCAUAAGCCAGCUUGACUGCGAGCGUGACGGCGCGAGCAGGUGCGAAAGCAGGUCAUAGUGAUCCGGUGGUUCUGAAUGGAAGGGCCAUCGCUCAACGGAUAAAAGGUACUCCGGGGAUAACAGGCUGAUACCGCCCAAGAGUUCAUAUCGACGGCGGUGUUUGGCACCUCGAUGUCGGCUCAUCACAUCCUGGGGCUGAAGUAGGUCCCAAGGGUAUGGCUGUUCGCCAUUUAAAGUGGUACGCGAGCUGGGUUUAGAACGUCGUGAGACAGUUCGGUCCCUAUCUGCCGUGGGCGCUGGAGAACUGAGGGGGGCUGCUCCUAGUACGAGAGGACCGGAGUGGACGCAUCACUGGUGUUCGGGUUGUCAUGCCAAUGGCACUGCCCGGUAGCUAAAUGCGGAAGAGAUAAGUGCUGAAAGCAUCUAAGCACGAAACUUGCCCCGAGAUGAGUUCUCCCUGACUCCUUGAGGGUCCUGAAGGAACGUUGAAGACGACGACGUUGAUAGGCCGGGUGUGUAAGCGCAGCGAUGCGUUGAGCUAACCGGUACUAAUGAACCGUGAGGCUUAACCUU